AUCAACAUCUAGAAGAACCAACCAGCACCAUGAACCCAAUCAUCUGCCUGAGCGUCCUACUGCUGCUUUUCUGCACAGAGAGCGCAGCACUCAGGUGUUACACUUGUGAAGGAGACGACUGCACUAAACAUGAAGACUGUGAUUACCUCUGCAUGACCUCCACCACUAUCAAACUGGUAGAUGGGGUGCUCAACGUAACCAGAGGCAGGUAUUGCACAGCAGAGUUUUACUGUGGUUACGACGAGCUGAAUAACAUUGCAGCCAUCUCAGUGGAUUCUGUGGUACAUGUGGCGAACACUAUGUGCUGCACGAAAGACCUUUGCAACAACAUAGAUCUGAAAGGUAAGAUGUUUUUUACACAAUUUUUUGUCACGCAAAUAUUCUACCCAUAGUUUAAUUCUAGCUUACACUGACCUGUUGUGGGUUUCUUUCCAGCCCCACCACGACAUCUGGCAGAGCGGCCAAAUGGUUUACAGUGCAGAGUCUGCCAGCUGGAUGGGAAGAAUUGCCGAAAUGAAAGAUGCUUUGGAGACCAAACAUUCUGCCGCAUUAGAUCUGUGGACGCAGUGCAAGUGGAAGGAUGUGCAACUAACAACUUUUGUUUCUCGAGCCGUCCAGGAGCAAAACUAUUCCCAGGCUUUGCUGGUGACCUUAAAUAUGGACAAUGUAUACAAGCAAAACCCCCUGCACCCGGCCCCCCUGCACCCCCCCCCCCCUGAACCAACCCCCCCUGAACCCACCACCCCUGAACCAACCCCCCCUGAACCCACCACCCCUGAACCAACCCCCCCUGAACCCACCACCCCUGAACCAACCCCCCCUGAACCCACCACCCCGGAACCAACCCCCCCUGAACCCACCACCCCUGAACCAACCCCCCCUGAACCCACCACCCCUGAACCAACCCCCCCUGAACCCACCACCCCUGAACCAACCCCCCCUGAACCCACCACCCCUGAACCAACCCCCCCUGAACCCACUACCCCGGAACCAAAGUGUGUUCCAAUUGAAACCACCCCUGAACCAACUCUGCCACCCUGUGGUAGAAACGGAAAACCACUCCCACCAUAAUAAACCAGUCCUUUGGUGUUGGGGACAAACCUUUAAAACGUUGAUUAAAUUCUGGGUGAAGCUUUAGUGGAACAAACUUAUGAGAGCACCACCCACUGUGAGGUUAAACCACAGCAUUGGUAAAUAUUUUUGGCUAAUCUCCAAAACAAAACAAAAUGGUAAAUUUGUUAACCAACAUAUGUGAUGUUUUGCUUUUUAGUGAUGGAAUUAGAUGAUGAAUUGAUGAAGAUCAACGCUUCCUUCAAAAGAGCGUUGGUUACUUCUAACUUCUACAUUUGACUCUUUUCGUAAAGGUGGCAGGGCUGAGUUUCUAAUGCUUUCUUAAAAUGCUUUCUUCAUGGGAACAAUCAUUAAAAUGAUGAAAUAAAACUAUCAGCUGACAAUUUGUGUUGAAGUGU
rnacentral:lncRNA from 1 species